UAGGGAAUCUUCGGCAAUGGACGAAAGUCUGACCGAGCAACGCCGCGUGAGUGAAGAAGGGUUUCGGAUCGUAAAACUCUGUUGUUAGAGAAGAACAAGGACGUUAGUAACUGAACGUCCCCUGACGGUAUCUAACCAGAAAGCCACGGCUAACUACGUGCCAGCAGCCGCGGUAAUACGUAGGUGGCAAGCGUUGUCCGGAUGUAUUGGGCGUAAAGCGAGCGCAGGCGGUUUCUUAAGUCUGAUGUGAAAGCCCCCGGCUCAACCGGGGAGGGUCAGUGGAAACUGGGAGACUUGAGUGCAGAAGAGGAGAGUGGAAUUCCAUGUGUAGCGGUGAAAUGCGUAGAUAUAUGGAGGAACACCAGUGGCGAAAGCGGCUCUCUGGUCUGUAACUGACGCUGAGGCUCGAAAGCGUGGGGAGCAAACAGG
rnacentral:rRNA from 1 species